rnacentral:rRNA from 1 species
UACGGAGGGUGCGAGCGUUAUCCGGAAUUACUGGGUUUAAAGGGGGCGUGGGCGGCGCUGUAAGUCAGGAGGGAAAGUUUGCGGCUCAACCGUAAAAUUGCUUUUGAUACUGCGGUGCUGGAAUUAGGAUGAGGUCAGCGGAAUGUGGCAUGUAGCGGUGAAAUGCAUAGAUAUGCCAUAGAACACCAAUUGCGAAGGCAGCUGGCUAGACCUGGAUUGACGCUGAGGCACGAAAGCGUGGGGAGCGAACAGG